GAUGAAGAACGUAGCGAAACGCGAUACUUGGUGUGAAUUGCAGAAUCCCGCGAAUCAUCGAGUUUUUGAACGCAAGUUGCGCCCGAAGCCAUUCGGCCGAGGGCACGUCUGCCUGGGUGUCACGCAUCGUUGCCCCCCCAAACUCCGGUUCGGGCGGGGCGGAAGUUGGCCUCCCGUGCGUGCCUGCGCGCGCGGUUAGCCCAAAAGCGAGUCCUCGGCGACGAGCGCCACGACAAUCGGUGGUUUUUUUACCCUCGUUCCUCGUCGUGCGUGUCCCGUCGCCCGAACGCGCUCUUGCGACCCUCACGCGUCGCCUCGGCGGCGCUCCCAACGCGACCCCAGGUCAGGCGGGACUACCCGCUGAGUUUAAGCAUAUCAAUAAGCGGAGGA
rnacentral:misc_RNA from 1 species